rnacentral:rRNA from 1 species
GUAGGGGGCGAGCGUUGUCCGGAUUUACUGGGCGUAAAGCGCGUGUAGGCGGCCGAAUAAGUUGGGUGUGAAAGCCCGGGGCUCAACCCCGGGACGCCGCCCAAGACUGUUUGGCUUGAGGACGGAAGAGGGGCGUGGAAUUCCAGGUGUAGCGGUGAAAUGCGUAGAGAUCUGGAGGAACACCCGUGGCGAAGGCGGCGCCCUGGUCCGUUUCUGACGCUGAGACGCGAAAGCGCGGGGAGCGAACGGGAUUAGAUACCCCGGUAGUCCGCGCCGUAAACGAUGGUCACUAGGUGUGCGCGGUAUCGACCCCGCGUGUGCCGUCGCUAACGCAUUAAGUGACCCGCCUGGGGAGUACGGCCGCAAGGUUG